GCCUGGGUGGCUCAGUCAGUUGAGCAUCCGACUUUGGCUCAGGUCGUGAUCUCACGGUACGUGGGUUCGAGCCCCGCUUCAGGCU
rfam:Felis catus isolate Cinnamon breed Abyssinian chromosome B4, whole genome shotgun sequence.